UCCUCGUCUGCUAUAGGGCUUACUCGCCCUUUCCGGAACCAUUGGAAGUAAGUGUCGAGUCGAUUAGCAUUGCCCGACUCAGCACGGCCGGGCCCGAGUGUACUGUUGAAUGGGAGCUGAAGCUCGUAGUCACAAACCCCAACAGCAAGCACGGCUUCUACCUCUACUUUGACGAUCGUCUGCAGGUCACGCUCUUCUUGUACGAUCGCUGGCUUGGCGGCAGCUUUAUGGUGACUACCAAGUCAUUGCCUCCUCCCUUGCUUUUAACCAGCGAGACCAACCAGACGGCCACCUUGAGUUUCAAAAUGCAAACUGAUCGUGCCUACUUAGGUGAAGAGCUCAUCGAGGAAAUCUCCAGAGGAAUAAUCCAAGUCCACCUGAAUGUGAUGGCCUCGGUAUCAGCUCAUUCCCACCACUUCGAAGCCUAAGGAAUUCCAUCUGUUGCGGCUCUCCUGCCCCGGCAUGGGGCUGUGCGAGUUCGAUUCUACCCGCAGCAGGGACAUCGUUUGACUCUCUUUAUUAUGUGUUAGUAAAUGUAGUCAGUUGACAGACUGGUUUUAUGUAAUUGGAGACUUAAUUUCAAAUUAAUCCAGUGAUGUCCUUUCUUAUCGGAUUUGAUUGCACAUGACAUGGAAACUGCAGGGUUUGGGCUCAUUAAACUGUUUACCUGAUUUAUUGUUUUUAUCUCAUUAAACCGAUUGCGUAAUUUAGUGAUUUUAUCUGUUAUAUGGUACUGAAUCAUGUAACAUUCUUCUUCAUCAGAAUGAUAUACUUGAAGGGAAGCCUGCAAGGUGCAGGGCUACAUUUCCUAGUCAUAAUUCCCUCUGCACCUUGUUGUAUUAUGCUGUCGGAGCUGGUGAAGGGAAAAGGAAUUGGACGUUCUGUUUAUCACGUGGAAGAUUUGAUACCCCGUAUUCAUGGUAUCCGCUAUGCGAUAGCGUUGCUUGUGCUACCUUUUGCUUUGGAUCUAUCUCUGACUACUUUGGUCCGACGGUUAUUGAAGUUCUGACUUGAUUUGUUUGAGGGCAAGUAGGGUGUGAAAGGGUUUCUGGAUGUGGUUGAGUUCAGGCUUAUGCAUGUUGUUUGGUACCAGCUAAGUUCUUGUUUGUACUUGAUGGAAUCACCCGGACUAAAGAUUUUAUGACACUUUUUUUCUAGUAUAAGAUAUGACUGGAUGGACUGUGAAAUAGGUCUUAUUAAAGCUUCUUUGCAUGUGUUGGAUUUGCAGUUUAUCCUUGUUCGUAAUUUAACAGCAUGUCGAGUUGGUUCGAACUUCACUUUAUCUAAUAAACCUAGUUUUCAGCUUCAGUAUGAUAUGGACAUUUUGAAUCUUUAGACGUACCAUUGAUUCUUGGAUUACAGAAUCAUAAUCAUUUUUUUGCCUAGUGAUGAUGCAUUGCGGUAUCCUGCUUCAGCUACUUACAGACUUCUUUCCUUCCUUAGGGAUGCAACUUUGGCCUAUAAAGCUGAAGCUUUACGGUUGGCAGAGGCAGCUUAGACAUCUGCAUUCUCAAUUUGACAUGCUUACUCAUCAGGCUUCUGCUGUACUCGUCAGCCGGUGUUGCUUUCACUUAGAUCUUAAAAAGUCACAUCAUCAGCGUGUCUCUUCAAAGAAUUAGUUCAAUGGAUGUAACUUUUUCCCCCAUUCAGAAAGUUUCUAACUUAUAGAAAUUGAUAGAAUGGUGCCUACUUAUUUUGUUGGAUUCAGAUUCCUACAUACUCUUUGAGAAA